CGGACUGGUAUUCACCAAUCAGGACAGUAUCCGACUCCCUCCACCCUAGAAAAGCAACUGCCGCUUGGCUUUCAUUCCCUCUCGUUCUCCGCUCUCCCUUCAACCAAGAGGCUCCAAUAAAGUGUGAUCAGAGAAGAAUCCUCAACUCAUGGUCGUUCUUGCUUGCUGGUCAAGGGACACCCCACAACUGGUGCCAAAACCCGAGACAACAUAUCGGUCACCCAGAAGAGGGCAGAGAAUUAAGAACUCUAUACACGGAGCGGCGAUGUCGGAAAAAUCCUCCAGAAUCGAGAGGAUCCAAUCUGGGUGCCAGCAAGACUGAUCAGAGAAGUGAUGGGUGCUGCAAAGGAUGAAGAUGAUCCAGUGGAUGCUGAAUGCCCUACUGUGGACAAUUCAUGCGGAAGCAGCAAGGAUGACCCUCUGGGUGGUAACAAGAGCAUCUGUUUCGCAUUAUCACCUUAAGCAGCACCCGUGUGCAGCCUCUCACCUUUGAGCACUGCCUUUUCCUUUCUUAAGGAAUGGGUGAGAGUAGGAAUAUUUUUGGUAUGCUGCCUAGGUGGAUGUGCGGUAUGUCUGUGGUUGGUGUGCCGUCUGCAAGCCCAAAUGUGGAGGGACAAGGUCGUUGUAGCACAGGCCUUGGCUGUCUUGAAAUGUGGAUCCUCACCCCAGAUUUGGCUUUCAGCCUUAAAGAGCUCGUAGGCAAUAUGCCAUGCAUAGCCUUUGCACCCUCUAGGGACCAGAUAGUCCCAUUGCACAGAGGAAGGUAUGCAUAGGCGAGAGUGUGUAGAUACAGCCCUUGCACUCCCAGGGAACAAUUUGUCUCAUUGCACGGGAAGGGUGUAUCUUGCUUUUUCCUUUCCCUCAAUCGAUCCACAUAUCGUGAGGUGGGGACUUGAUUGGGAAAUAGGUUUUGCCUUAUUGCUCUACAAAAACAAAAAGGGGGAGCUGUAAGGAGCUGUCAGGAUAUCACCAUUACAAAAUGGUGCUGGCGGUCCUGCAGGUUGGAGGUAAACAAAUCCUUUUGAUGUUUCUGUGUGGGGCUGAGCACCCUUUGCCUGCAUUUGCACAACUGAGACUUGUCCCUAGCCAAUCCCAAAGCCCCGGGCUUCAGCAGAAUGGUAUUCACCAAUCAGGACAGUAUCCGACUCCCUCCACCCUAGAAAAGCAACUGCCACUUGGCUUUCGUUCCCUCUCAUUCCCCGCUCUCCCUUCAAACAAGAGGCUCCAAUAAAGUGUGAUCAGAGAAGAA